rnacentral:rRNA from 1 species
AUGUACGACGACGUACAGACACUGCACCAGCAAACUAAGCCACGGCAACCACCUGCAUGCAGGCACGACCGCCACAGAUCUUUCCUCUGCUACGCCUCCACGGCACAAUCAUGGACAUGGCCUCUCCUCCGAGCGGAGCGUGCAGUGAGCAGGACGGCAUCCCCGUCGUCGACCUGGCCGUCCUCCUCAACGGCGACGCUGGCGAACGGUCGCAGGCGAUCCGACACCUCGGCCGGGCGUGCCAAGACCGGAGCAGAAGCAGGAGCACAUGGACACCGGCCCGAUGGACCCCGUCCGCGUCGGCACGAGCUUCAACUCCGCCGUCGACGGCGCCAGGUACUGGCGGGACUACGUCAAGAUGUUCGCGCACCCGGAGCUCCACUGCCCCGCCAAGCCCGACAGCCUGCGGGGCGUAGCCGCAGAGUACGCGGCGCGCACCAGGGGCCUGCUGCUGGAGCUCACGCAGCCAUCUCCGAGAGCCUGGGGCUCGGCGGCGGCCGCAUUGCUGAGCGCCUGGACCUCGAUUUCGGCCUUCAGAUCCUCAUCGGCAACCAUUACCCGCCGUGCGCUGCUGACCCGGACGACGAUGGGGCGAUCAGGCUGCCGGCUCACUCUGACCACGGCCUCCUCACUCUGCUCUUCCAGAACGGCGUCGAUGGCCUCCACGUCAAGCACGACGGCCGGUGGCUCCUCGCCAAGCCCCUCCCCGGCUCCUUCUUCGUCAUCGCCGGGGAUCAGCUGGAGCUUAUAGAAUUCAAAUUGGGGAUGAAUUCGCCAUGGAAGGCGGAUGCAAGCUCACACGCACACGGUGUUGGCCGAAGCCACCAGUUCCUUUCCAGAUCCACACACCAACGGUUGCCGAAGAAGCAUCCCCUCCACUCCACCGAACUAGGACUUGUGCCACCGAUCGGUUGUCGGCGCGGCGAAGGCGCUCCUGCAGUAUCUUAA